rnacentral:rRNA from 1 species
AUUGAACGCUGGCGGCAUGCUUUACACAUGCAAGUCGAACGGUAACAGGCCUUCGGGUGCUGACGAGUGGCGAACGGGUGAGUAAUGCAUCGGAACGUACCCAGAGGUGGGGGAUAACGCAGCGAAAGCUGUGCUAAUACCGCAUGUGAUCUGAGGAUGAAAGCGGGGGACCGAGCAGCAAUGUUUGGCCUCGCGCCUUUGGAGCGGCCGAUGUCGGAUUAGCUAGUUGGUGGGGUAAAGGCCUACCAAGGCGACGAUCCGUAGCUGGUCUGAGAGGACGACCAGCCACACUGGGACUGAGACACGGCCCAGACUCCUACGGGAGGCAGCAGUGGGGAAUUUUGGACAAUGGGCGCAAGCCUGAUCCAGCAAUGCCGCGUGCGGGAAGAAGGCCUGCGGGUUGUAAACCGCUUUUGGCAGGAACGAAACGGUGUCCGCUAAUACCGGGCGCUAAUGACGGUACCUGCAGAAUAAGCACCGGCGAACUACGU